rnacentral:lncRNA from 1 species
AGCUUCCCUCCUGCAGAUAAUGGUGCAUUUGAGGCCAGGAUAGUCAUGGAUUCCUGAGUACAAGGACAGUGGCUCAUUGUUGCUAAGGAUCCCAACUCAAAUUAGCAACACUGGACUGAAAACACAAACUAAAAUCCUCCUACCUGAGCAAGGUAUGCAGGAAAAACUGAGACUGCUGUUCGCAGGGACAAGUAUCCAUAUGAAAUCUAUAGUGAUGAUCUAUGCCUGGCAGAGGAAAAAUGGUCAACUAUCUAAUGGGCCCCCUCAAAGUCUCCCUGCAUCUCAGAAGAACACCAAUGUCCAGAGCUCUGUGAUUCCUCUAUCACUGUGGAGCAUCUGCCAAGAAUGGACACCAGCAUCUGUAGACCAGGGAGAGACUGGUUCCCACACUUUAGUUCCGUACGCCCAAACAGUAAAACAACAGCCUAUCCCCUAAUGAAGUAUGUACAUAAUGAUAGAGGAUU